UACAGAGGUCUCAAGCGUUGCUCGGAUUCAUUGGGCGUAAAGGGUGCGUAGGUGGCGCGCUAAGUCAGGUGUGAAAUUUCGGAGCUUAACUCCGAAACUGCAUUUGAUACUGGCGUGCUUGAGGACUGGAGAGGAGACUGGAAUUCAUGGUGUAGCAGUGAAAUGCGUAGAGAUCAUGAGGAAGACCAGUGGCGAAGGCGGGUCUCUGGACAGUUCCUGACACUGAGGCACGAAGGCCAGGGGAGCAAACGGG
rnacentral:rRNA from 1 species